GGUUUUUUAGUUUAAUAAAAAUGCAGGUUUUGUAAACCUGAGAUAGUGAUUCACUUUUAACCU
rnacentral:tRNA from 1 species